rnacentral:rRNA from 1 species
AUUGAACGCUGGCGGCAGGCCUAACACAUGCAAGUCGAGCGAGCGGCGGACGGGUGAGUAAUGUAUGGGGACUGCCCGAUAGAGGGGGAUAACUACUGGAAACGGUAGCUAAUACCGCAUACUAUCGGAUAACCCAUAUGGGAUUAGCUGGUAGGUGGGGUAAUGGCUCACCUAGGCGACGAUCCCUAGCUGGUCUGAGAGGAUGACCAGCCACACUGGGACUGGGACACGGCCCAGAGUCCUACGGAGGCAGCAGUGGGGAAUAUGGCGCAAUGGGGGCAAGCCGGAUGCAGCCAGGCCGCGUGGGUGAAGAAGGCACUUGGGUUGUAAAGAACUUUCAGUCGGGAGGCGUUACCGACAGAAGAAGCACCGGCUAACGCCGUUCCAGCAGCCGCGGUAAUAC